ensembl:lncRNA
CUCUCCUAAGCCUUUCUCUAGUGUCCCCAUUCCCAUUACUGACUACCAGGGUUUGAGAUGGUCAAAAACAUUUUUGUCCCAGGACUACGCAUUAUAUACGACCUGCAAAGUAGCAUCACAAGUUCAAACUAGUGAAGGUUGUCAAGACAGAAAGUGUGCAAAGUGCAUCUACUUGGUUCUGUGAAGCAGAUCAGCUCUUUCUAUUUGAAGCGACCUGUUAAAUCUAACACACUCUCAGAGGUCAUCAAUGUUCCAGAGAACCCAAUACAAAAUACAUCAAAAGGUCAGUUAUAAGUGGAGUGAACCAAAGCUUGGUGAGAUUUCUCAGUUUUCCAUCAGGCAACUUUUGUGGCUUCGAGAGGUAACAAAUUUCAGAUGUCUGAAAAUCAAAAUCAGCAUCAUGAGCGUUAGAUGUUCAAUUACUUCCCACUAGUUAGCUCUACCUGUCUGAGGCAGAAGGAUAAUGACAUCCAGGUAAGCAUUCAACCCUGAUAUUUAAUAUUAAAAUGAAAUUUAAACAAGUCACAUUGUAACUGGUCUAGAAGAGAGGAAAACAUAUUUCUUUGAUGUACACCAUAAGGGAACAUCUGUUACAGCUGGAUUUUUAUCUGUGUUUCAUGUUCCCGUUCCUCUGUGACAUUCUAAAAACAUUAAUAAAAGUAAACAUUUUUGUUGUGAUCUUUAUAAAUGUCUACUAAACCACCCCAAGAUAAACAUCCUCCACCUCCCACAGAUCUGGCUUUGUGCUGAGGGACAUGAAUGCACAUGUUCACCAGUCUUAUUUUACAUUUUGUUGGUAUAUCAUUGCCUGAGCAAAUUCUCAUCACAGUAGAAUUAUAAACACCCAAGAACUGUGUGAAUUCUGUACAUUUAUUAAUAUAUUCACAUUUACAGUAAAAAAGCACACAAUACAACAGAACUGGCAAUACAACAGAAUACACAAUAUACAAAAGUACACAAAACUGCAACACCAAAAUCUAUUCAGUGUUCUGCUCCGCCAUGUAUUAUUAUUAGUAGUAUUAGUAUUAGUAUUAAAAAAAAUUAAAUCACAGAUUACAGUGAGUUCUGUGAAAAAGCCCUGUACAAGUAUUUUUGUUGUCAAAGGUACAACAGUUGUUCUUAAAGAUUAUAUACCAUUAAUUAUAAUACUAUAUAUUUGUAUUUAUAUAAGUAACAGUAUAAACAACAUGUUCUCGAGUAUAUUACAGCAGUGAGAAAUGUUUGUACGGUAUGUUACCUUUUUCAUUCUGAGAAGGUAAAUAAUUGUAAAAAAGCUACGGGUAAAAAUCACCACAGAUGUUUAAAAACAGAUCCCACAAAAUCUCAAAAUCAGAAAAGGAGUCAGUUCACACUAGUCCAUUAGCAAUUGAAAAGCAUCACACAGUGAUAAGUAAGAGAUAAAUAUUUCACUGAAACUAGAAAUGAAGCGUUAGAAAAAGAAAGAAAGAAAAGAAUCUGCUACAUAUAUGGGAUUAUAUUUUCCCCUUAACUGUACAUUUCCCCCUUUUUCCUUAAUUUCCUUAAUCCUGUCCCUCUGCCAUGACAGAGACUGACAUAAAGAAAGCUUAUCUUUCUGAGCUUGGCACAGUGUCACAACUACUGUAUGUAUUGGGAUUAUAUUAUUUCAGCUUCUGUGAUCAUUUUGCGAGUGAAUAUUGCUGACAUAUUACAGUUGUUAUUUCUUAUAAACAAAACUGCAACAAUGAUGCACAAGGCAAGACAAAUCAUGAGCAAUACAGCCAAGGCAACUUCAGGAUUUUUUUUGGGUUCUCAAGUUUCCCUGUGAAAAGACAAAAAUCACUGUGUUAUUUAAAAUCCACAUCACAUCUCUUGCAGCAAAUAAAUUAUGUCCAUUGAACUCAGUGAAAGCAAAGUACUUUUAUGAGCGUGAGAAUUGGUUGUAGAAACAGCACCUAGUGUGGUGAGAUUAGCAGCAGGCCGCACUGUCAGAAAAAUAAAAUGAAAUGAAAUUUAACAAUGUGCUCUGCAGUCAUACACAAGAGGUAUAUAUCUUAUAAAACAACAAAAGAAAAGUACCUAUGGUCACGCUGAAUUUUGUUUCACCAAUUCCUUCUUUCAUUUGUACCCAAAAUGUAAAUGUUCCACUGUGACUCGCUGAUGCACUUUCAAUUGUGCAAUUAAAUAUAUGACUGUUGCCACUUGGAAAGUUACGCAUUUUACUGCAGUUGAUUUUAUCUUCUCCAUGCUUCCAAAAAUAAUGGAGUGUUUCACAUUUUUUACAUGUGACAUUGCAGGUUAGUUGUACUGGUUUUCCCUCAGUGGUAGUUUGAUUUGUACAGUUUGUUGGUAAUUCUGUAGAAAAAAUAAAAUAAAAUAAAAUAAAAUAAAAGGUUAAUAAAG